CUCAGUCAGUUAAGCAUCUGACUCUUAUUUUGGCUCAGAACACUCCCACAGGAAGCAUCGCUGAUGGUCACUGGAUUGAUUUACAAAGGACAAAAGUACAAUGAUUAGAGGAGGAAAUAAGCACUUUUAAGAAAAGAAUCAAUAAACUCUGCUUUUAACGUGAAAAGAAAAGAAAUUUCUUACUGAAAGGAAGGGGAAAUUAUUCUUGGAACACAGAUGAUGAUAUCAACAGUAGCAGCAGCAGCAUCAACAAACCAAUUCAAAAAUCAAGAAAUUAUGUGUGAAAUGUAAAAAAAAUUGCCACCA